GUGCUCGCUUUGGCAGCACAUAACACUAAAAUUGGAACGAUACAGAGAAGAUUAACAUGGCCCCUGCGCAAGGAUGACUCACAAAUUCUUGAAGGGUUCCAUAUUUUU
ensembl:snRNA U6 U6 spliceosomal RNA